UUGUGGAGGAGGACGCCGAAGGUGGGGCUAAUGACUGGGGUGAAGUCGUAACAAGGUAGCCGUACCGGAAGGUGCGGCUGGAUCACCUCCUAACAGGGAGACAACAAAAUGUUUAAUAUUAUUAUUUUGUCACCUUAGGUCGAUCGGUAUCUCACGUUCUUAUUUUGUUAAGAAAUUCAUUUCCUAAGUUUUUCUAGGUCACACCCAUUAUUUUUCCUGGGCCAUUAGCUCAGGUGGUUAGAGCGCACCCCUGAUAAGGGUGAGGUCCCUGGUUCAAGUCCAGGAUGGCCCAUAUCUCUAUGUUGGGGGUAUAGCUCAGUUGGUAGAGCGCCUGCUUUGCAAGCAGGAUGUCAGCGGUUCGAGUCCGCUUACCUCCACUGAUUACCACCUCUUCCAUAACCGGUAUAAAGGAAAUGUUUUGAGUUGUGAUCAUUAUUCUGAACGAAUCUAGCUUCCUAAUGAAAUCAUUAAGAUGCUGGACUCAUUGAAUUAAUUUCAUUGUUUUCAGAGAACCUUGACAACUGCAUAGAUUAUUUUUAAAGACAAUAAGCAUCUUUAAUGAUGCAGAUUUAUUAUUUGUGCGAAUGCAUUAAUAACAAUUCUAUUAAGCUUAUGCUUCAAUUUUGAAGUUAUUGGUCAAGCUACAA
rnacentral:misc_RNA from 1 species